GGAGUAGCGACGGGCACCCAGCGAAGCCAAUCAGAGAUGGAAGUAGUGCUCUGAGGGUGGGCGCCGCUUGGUACCACCCUCCUCGCCCUCGGUGUCCUGGAGAAAGGCGGAAGGAAUGCGGACCUUUUUGAAGUGACGGACGCGCCAGCCUAUCAGGGGCGAGCUCAAGAGGGCGGGGCGGAAGACUGCAGGAAUGAAAUGGAUUGACAGACCAAAUAACUAAUGAGAGGCUUGAUUGAGAACCUACCCGACUAUCAGAGGACCUGUCCGGGAAGAGAAAUGGGGCUACGUCCAGACAGAAUCUCGCUCUGUUGCCUGGGCUGGAGUGCAGUGGCACUGUAUCCGGAAUUGGGGGGUUCUUGGUCUCACUGACUUCAAGAAUGAAGCCAUGGACCCUUGCGGUAAGUGUUCCAGCUCUUAAGGUGGCGCGUCUGGAGUUUGUUUCUUCUGAUGUUCAGGUGUGUUCAGCGUUUCUUCCUUCUGGUGGGUUCAUGGUUUCACUGGCUCAGGAGUGAAGCUGCAGACCUUCGCAGUGAGUGUUACAGCUCAUAAAAGCAGUGGGGACCCAAAGAGUGAGCAGUACAAGAUUUAUUGCAAAGAGCGCCACCACACCCGGCUAAUUUUUGUAUUUUUAGUAGAGACGGGGUUUCACCAUGUUGGUCAGGCGGGCCUGGAACUCGUAAUGUCAGAUGAUCCACCUGCCUCGGCCUCCUAAAGUGCUGGGAUUACAGGCAUGAGCGACCACGCCAUCUUUUUUUUUUUUUUUUAACAAAACACAGAUGUAGAAUUAGAGCCUUCAGGGGUGGGUGCAGUGGCGCUCACACCUUUAAUCCCAUCACUUUGUGAAGCCAAGGCAGGAGGAUCCCUUGAGUCUCGGUGUUUGAGACCAGCCUGGACAAUAGAAUGAGACCCUGCCUCUACGAAAAAAAAAUUAUUUUUGUUUUGAGAUGGAGUCUUGCUCUGUUGCCCAGGCUGGAGUGCAGUGGCGCAAUCUCGGCUUAUUUGCAGCCUCUGCCUCCUUGGCUCAAGUGAUUCUUCUGCGUCAGCCUCUAGAGUAGCUGGGACUACAGACGUGCACCACCAUGCUCGGCUAAUUUUUGUAUUUUUUUGUAGAGAUGGGGGUUCCACCAUGUUGGCCCGGCUGGUCUCGAACUGCUGACCUCAAGUGACCUGCCUGUCUCGGCCUCACAAAUGGCUGGGAUUACAGGCACGAGACACCGUGCCUGGCCCUGGGAACAUGUUUACAUGGACUUUGUUCACUUUUUAAAACAAACUGAGGGUAACUUACUAGAUCUGUGAACUAAAGAAAGAGAAAAAAAAGAAAGAAAACAAACAAGAACAAAGAACAAAGUGUUCUGAGGUUGCUUUUAUUCCAAGAACUCUGUGAGCUCCCACCAGCACCAUGAGGGCGCUCUCG
rnacentral:lncRNA from 10 species